GUGAUGAUGAUAAAUACCAGAUAUCUCUAGAGGUUAGUUAUUACUGGUGUGAUGAUGAUAAAUACCAGAUAUCUCUAGAGGUUAGUUAUUACUGGUGUGAUGAUGAUAAAUACCAGAUAUCUCUAGAGGUUAGUUAUUACUGGUGUGAUGAUGAUAAAUACCAGAUAUCUCCAGAGGUUAGUUAUUACUGGUGUGAUGAUGAUAAAUACCAGAUAUCUCCAGAGGUUAGUUAUUACUGGUGUGAUGAUGAUAAAUACCAGAUAUCUCCAGAGGUUAGUUAUUACUGGUGUGAUGAUGAUAAAUACCAGAUAUCUCCAGAGGUUAGUUAUUACUGGUGUGAUGAUGAUAAAUACCAGAUAUCUCCAGAGGUUAGUUAUUACUGGUGUGAUGAUGAUAAAUACCAGAUAUCUCCAGAGUUUAGUUAUUACUGGUGUGAUGAUGAUAAAUACCAGAUAUCUCCAGAGGUUAGUUAUUACUGGUGUGAUGAUGAUAAAUACCAGAUAUCUCUAGAGGUUAGUUGUUACUGGUGUGAUGAUGAUAAAUACCAGAUAUCUCCAGAGGUUAGUUAUUACUGGUGUGAUGAUGAUAAAUACCAGAUAUCUCUAGAGGUUAGUUAUUACUGGUGUGAUGAUGAUAAAUACCAGAUAUCUCUAGAGGUUAGUUAUUACUGGUGUGAUGAUGAUAAAUACCAGAUAUCUCUAGAGGUUAGUUAUUACUGGUGUGAUGAUGAUAAAUACCAGAUAUCUCUAGAGGUUAGUUAUUACUGGUGUGAUGAUGAUAAAUACCAGAUAUCUCCAGAGGUUAGUUAUUACUGGUGUGAUGAUGAUAAAUACCAGAUAUCUCCAGAGGUUAGUUGUGACCGGUGUGAUGAUG